rnacentral:lncRNA from 1 species
UUUUGAUGUCUAGAAUCAGGGGAUCCAGGAUCAUCACCAAGGUCAUUUUCCCAGACAGAUGUGCUGAGGCUGUAGAAAGUGCUUUUUAUUUGGUUGGGAGCUUGUGCAUAAAUGUGAGAGGGGCUGCACAUCUGACGGACUAGAGGUGACUCAUGGCUGAACCGGAACAGGACAUCGGGGAGAAGCCAGCAGUCAGAAUUCAGAACCCCAAAGAAAAUGACUUCAUUGAAAUUGAACUGAAGAGACAAGAACUGAGUUACCAAAACCUACUAAAAGUGAGUUGCUGUGAACUGGGGAUUAACCCAGAACAAGUGGAGAAGAUCAGAAAGCUACCAAACACACUGCUCAGAAAGGACAAAGACAUUCGAAGACUGCGGGACUUUCAGGAAGUGGAACUCAUUUUAAUGAAAAAUGGAAGCUCCGGAUUGACCGAAUAUAUGCCAUCUCUGACAGAAAGGCCCUGCUAUAAUAGCAAAGCUGCAAAAAUGACUUAUUAAAUAAUCCCGGGAAUGGCCGGGCGUGGUGGCUCACGGCUGUAAUCCCAGCACUUUAGGAAGCCAAGGUGGGCAGAUCACCUGAGGUCAGGAGUUCUAGACCAGUCUGGCCAACAUAUAGUGAAACCCCAUCUCUACUAAAAAAAACACAAAAAUUAGCUAGGUGUGGUGGCGCACACCUGUAGUCC